rnacentral:lncRNA from 1 species
UGGCUGACUGACACAAAAGAAUGAACCUGGAGCAUGAAGGCCAUUUUGAGAUGUUUGAGAAGAAACUUCUGAGGAUGUCCCUUUACAGAGCAGCAGGAGAUUUGCUCUCUGUGUC